ACGCACGCUGGCGGCGUGCUUCACCCCUGCCCGUUGAACGAGAAUUUUUCGAGUGAUUUCUUCGGAAUGAUCACGAAAAAGGAAGGUAGCGAACGGGUGAGUAACACGUGAGAAACCUGCCUUUCACAAAGGGAUAGCCUCGGGAAACCGGGAUUAAUACCUUAUGAAACCAAACACUCGCAUGAGAGAUUGGUUAAAGAUUUAUCGGUGUUAGAUGGUCUCGCGUCUGAUUAGCUAGUUGGUGGGAUAAAAGCCUACCAAGGCAACGAUCAGUAGCCGGAUUGAGAGGUUGAACGGCCACACUGGAACUGAGACACGGUCCAGACUCCUACGGGAGGCAGCAGUGGGGAAUUUUGCACAAUGGAGGAAACUCUGAUGCAGCGACGCCGCGUGAGUGAUGAAGGUCUUCGGAUUGUAAAACUCUGUCCUUAGUGAAGAUAAUGACAGUAACUAAGAAGCAAGCCCUGGCUAAAUACGUG
rnacentral:rRNA from 1 species